CUGUGAGCUGGGGAUUACAUGGACCGUUAUGGUUGUCGGAAUAUAUUUGAAAGCUCCACGGUUUAGCAGAAGAGAGAGCAAAGCAACGGCCAGAUAACUGCAGACCGGGAGUGGGACAUCAUUCGGUCUUGUCGGGACACUCCACAAUCAAGUAAAUUUCAGUCAGUUAGCUCGCUAGCUAGCAUAGCUGGUGGCAGCGUUAGCCCCGAGAUCCCAGGCGCAGUAAAAUGAAGCGUUAUUGCCCUUUGUUUUUAAGUCCGACUGGCAGACGUUGUAUGAGCGCUGAGAGCUGAAUGACCACACCGCUACGGGAAUUGGAUUACAUAAUGACUUAUUUUGCUCUAUUUAUUAAACUAUCAGCCGUUUUCAAAACAUUAUCUGGCUAAGCCCGUUUCGCUAGCCAGCUAACUCUAGAUUCUCCCGCGAGCCCGAAAAGCCAGGACUCCAAAAACUUCGCCAACACAGAACCUGACGCAGAGAAAAGGCUUUCCAUCUUCACCCAUAUUCCUACUCUGAUGUGAACUGAACUAAUAAAUCUGUUGGAGUCAUCCUUUUAAGUUGGGGAUCUGCCCUCAUAGCUGAAGAAAGUCGAGGUGUUUGGAUAAGUCAGGUUUUACUGGCAGUGUGCUUCUAACCCACCAGCAUGUACACUGGACAGUGGAUACUCUAGCCAAAACAGAUCCUGGCUUCCCAAAGAUGACAAGGUGCUGGCAGGCUACAAAAUGAUGGGAGGCAGUGAGACUGUCAGUGGGGACAAGGAUGGGGUCCAUACCACUGCAAUACACGUCCCCAUCGGCUGGCAAAGGAGAGUGGAAGGAGGUCAGGUAAUCUAUGUCAG